CUACCAAAACACAUGCAUAAAAUAUAAGUAGAACUAUUUUGCAAACCUGAUACGGAAAUCCAACUCUCCUGCCUUUUUAAACUGUUAGCCUAAUGAUGACUGUAUUAGGCUUACAAUAAAAUGUGUGUCGCAUAUAUGCUAUUAACCGUGCACUCUGUCUGUAUCCGCUCUUUGAGGGAGAGUGCGCUGGUAAAAGGGAGGGAGGGAAUGAGGCAAACAAGAAACAUGUAAUCACCCAAACAACCGUUUUAGUCCUUUCCCCCUGGAUUUGUGUCGUAAGAUAGCCUACAGUAUCUACUUCAAAGGAUACACAGGGGGCCGCGAGACUGUUACAAUGGGACUUGAAGUUUCAGAUGAUGUCCAGUACAGCACGGCUGCUCCAGCCAAUAAACAAGGACAAUGACCCAACACACCUCCAUGCUGUGUAAGGGCUAUUUGACCAAAAAGAAGAGUGAUGGAGUGCUGCAUCAGAUGACCUGACCUCAACAAUCAGCCGAACUCAACUUAGUUGAGAUGGUUUGGGAUGAGUUGGACCGCAGAGUGAAGGAAAAGCAGCCAACAAGUGUUCAGCAUAUGUGGGAACUCCUUCAAGACUGCUAGUAAAGCAUUCCAGGUGAAGCUGGUUGAGAGAAUGCCAAGAGUGUGCUAAGCUGUCAUCAAGGCAAAUGGUGGCUACUUUGAAGAAUCUAAAAGCUAAAAUAUAUUUUUUAUUUGUUAAACACUUUUUUUUGCAUACUAUACGUGUUAUUUCAUAGUUUGGAUGUCUUCACUAUUAUUCUACAAUGUAAAUAAAGAAAAUCCCUUGAUUGAUUAGGUGUGUCCAAACUUUUGACUGGUACUGUAAGUAUUCAGACCUUCCCUAAGACUCGAAAUUGAUCUCAGGUGCAUCCUGUUUCCAUUGAUCAUCCUUGAGAUGUUUCUACAACUUUAUUAGAGUCCACAUGUAGUAAAUUCUUGAUUGAACAUGAUUUGGAAAGGCACACACCUAUAAGGUCCAACAGAGGACAGUACAUGUCAGAGCAAAAACCAAGCCAUGAGGUCGAAGGAAUUGUCCGUAGAGCUCCGAGACAGGAUUGUGUAGAGGCACAGGUCUGGGGAAGGGUACAACAACAUUUUCGCAGCAUUGAAGGUCCCAAAGAUCACAGUGGCGUCCAUCAUUCUUAAAUGGAAGAAGUUUGGAACCACCAAAACUCUUCCUAGAGCUGGCCGCCUGGUCAAACUGAGCAAUCCUCCCUGGCGAUGGUCACUCUGACAAAACUCCAGAGUUCCUCUGUGGAGAUGAGAGAAUCUACCAGAAGGACAACCAUCUCUGCAGCACUCCACCAAUCAGAUCUUUAUGGUUGAGUGGCCAGACUUAAGCCACUCUUCAGUAAGAGAAACAUGACAGCCCGCUUGGAGUUUGCCAAAAGGCUCUUAAAGACUCUCAGACCAUGACAAACAAGAUUCCCUGCUGUUGAAAUAAAAAUGUAACUCUUUGGCCUGAAUGCCAAGCGCACCGUCUAGUGGAAACCUGGCACCAUCCCUACGGUGAAGCAUGGUGGUGGAAGCAUCAUGCUGUGGGGAUGUUUUUCAGCGUCAGGGACUGGGAGACUAGUCAGGAUCGAGGGAAAGCUGAACGGAGCAAAGUACAGAGAUAUCCAUAAUGAAAACCUGCUCCAGAGCACUCAGGACCUCAGACUGUGGUGAAGGUUCACCUUCCAACAGGAGUGUCAUCGGGUCAAGUCUCUGAAUGUCCUUGAGUGGCCCAGCCAGAGACCGGACUUGAACCCGGUCAAACAUCUCUGGAGACACCUGAAAAUAGCUGUGCAGCGACACUCCCUAUCCAACGUGACAGAGCUUGAGGGUCUGCAGAGAAGAAUUUGAGAAAUUCCCCAAAUUCAUGUGUGCCAAGCUUGUCGCGUCAUACCCAAGAAGACUCAGACUGCUGUAAUCACUGCCAAAGUACUGAGUAAACGGUCUGAAUAAUUAUGUAAAUAAGAUAUUUCAGUUUAAACAUUUUUAUAUUUUUUUUGCAAAAAAUGUUUAAAAAAAAAUGAUUUUGCUUUGUCAUUAUUGGGUAUUGUGUGUAGAUUGAUGCAGGAAAAAAAACUAUUGAAUCAAUUUUAGAAUAAGGCUGUAACGUAAUACAAUGUGGAAAAAGUGAAGGGGUCUGAAUAUUUUCAAAAUGUACUGUUUGUAGCCCUUUCCUGCAGUCAAUUACCAAAAGUGCCCUCUUUGGCCUCAGGGUGGAAUGUUAAUAAUUUUUUCAUAAUUUCAUAAUUAAUAAAGAAUGUAAAAUAGAAAACUGACAGAAAUCUGGUGUUUCUAUGUCAAAUAGUUGUGUUAUAUUUCAAUGUCCUGUGAUGUAUUGUAUAUAAAGUGUAAUAUUGGGUUUCAAAUUCAAUACAUUCCAACUCUAUAUCUGACAUGGUACAGUUGUCUUAUUUAAGCCCAUAACCAUGUUUUGUUUCAAAGUAGAUUUGUUAAAAACUACCAAGAAUCACUCUGUUUUACCUGAUUUAGCCCAUUUGUCACGUCCUGACCAGUAUAAGGGUUAAUUGUUAUUGUAGUUUGGUCAGGACGUGGCAGAGGGAAUUUGUUUUAUGUGGUUCGGGGUGGUGUUUUAUUUAGUGGGGCAUUUGAUUUGUGUAUUCCGGGGUUUUUGGGCACUGUUUUUGUAUUCAUGUAUUUCUAUGUUUGGUCUGGUGAGUCUGGUUCUAUGUUUGGUUAAUUGGGGUGGGGACUCUCAAUUGAAGGCAGGUGUUGUCUAUUUGCCUUUGAUUGAGAGUCCUAUAUAUUACGGGGUGUUUGUAAUUUGUGGGAGAUUGUUUCUUGUUUAGCGUGAGUAAGCCUUACAAGACUGUUGUGUUGAUCGUGAG
rnacentral:lncRNA from 1 species